rnacentral:rRNA from 1 species
CUCCAGACUCCUACGGGAGGCAGCAGUGGGGAAUAUUGCACAAUGGGGGAAACCCUGAUGCAGCGACGCCGCGUGAGCGAUGAAGUAUUUCGGUAUGUAAAGCUCUAUCAGCAGGGAAGAAAAUGACGGUACCUGACUAAGAAGCCCCGGCUAACUACGUGCCAGCAGCCGCGGUAAUACGUAGGGGGCAAGCGUUAUCCGGAUUUACUGGGUGUAAAGGGAGCGUAGACGGCUGUGCAAGCCAGAUGUGAAAGCCCGGGGCUCAACCCCGGGACUGCAUUUGGAACUGUGUGGCUGGAGUGUCGGAGAGGCAGGCGGAAUUCCUAGUGUAGCGGUGAAAUGCGUGGAUAUUAGGAGGAACACCAGUGGCGAAGGCGGCCUGCUGGACGAUGACUGACGUUGAGGCUCGAAAGCGUGGGGAGCAAACAGGAUUAGAUACCCGGGUA